ensembl:lncRNA
AUGACAAUGUCCCCACACUCCUGUACACCAAUGUACUUGCCACCAAUGCAGACAUUAGCUCUGGGGGCCUGUACCACUGUUUUCCCUUUUGGCUCCUGGCUUCCCACCUAUGCUAGAUGACCCCAAAGGAUUCCCCAACCCUAGAAGCCUAUUGGCUUGACCUAAACAGUGACCUUGUUUCACCUGGUCAAUGUGGUGUGGGGUCUCUAAAGACAUCAAGCUCACAGUCUAUUGCAGACAAGACAAAGGGUCUUCUCUUUGGCCUCUACAUCCAACUAAGAGGGAUAUAGGUGGUGCAAAAAAAAACAGGUCAUAUGUCCCUUGUGUCGCCAUCUUUUGGUGACAUAUGUACUUACUGUGUACAAGAUGCCAUGCUAAGUACUUUGGAACUGCAUGCCCCACAAUCUUCACAUCAUUGGGCACAGGUUUUAUCACCCCAUUGCCCAGAGAGGUAAGCUGAGCUUCAAGAAAACUGCUCUAGAUCCCACAGCUAGGUGUUAUAGAAAUUAAUAUCCUAUAUCCUCUUAAGUAAAAAGUGUGUAUGCUUAACCAGGAUGUUACUCUGAGUCUUCAGGUGGAGCCUUGCUAUGAAAGUUCCCCACCAUCAGUUUUCAGAGGACCAUGUUCUGAAAUGGAAUGAGAGUAAUGGAAGAGAAAGUGAAGCCACUGAAGUCCUGCUAUUCCUCUUGGCUGUGACACCUGGACAAGUCACAAUUCUAAGCCUGGGUUCCCCCUGAAAACAGUGGGAUACAAUCCUGCAUCACAUAUACAGAAGAGACAAAUGAAAAACAAGCCUCAGAUGUCAAAGGACCUGCCCUAGAUGAUCAAUGGACAUCAGUAUGCCUGGCACUGAGACUGAUUCUCUUCCCAUUAACUUGAAUGGCAAAGACAUAAAUGAGGCUGGAGUAAAAACCCACUGGCCGAAGGAAGACUGGAAAGGAUUGAGUGUCACUCAACAGAGAAGGUCCAGGCAUUAAUUCAACAAGGAGUAGACACCCACUCUUGCCCUGAGUUAUGGUAUGACCAGGGAUCCAAAGGUCAUGUUGAUUUAUCCCUGUCUCUGAGAGCAGAAACAUCACUCCUGUUCACUGCAGGAUUCUCAGGACUUCACGCAGGACUUGGCACCAGUAAAUCCUCCAUAAAUAUUUGUCUGCAAGUACCCAUGGAUUCUUUGCCUGCUUUUGCACAGGACCAGAGCAGGAUAAAUCCAAGUUCGCUCAUCCCACCAAUGUCCAUGAAACUAGGCACAAUGGGAGCCACACUCAGAAUACCACAGGCCUUGGCAGAGGGCCUGAGCUCAUACAAAUGACUAAAUUCUAGGUGAGGCUAGAAUACAAUAAAGCUGUGAGCAGUGGAACAAGGGUCCCGACAGUGAAAGAAGUAAGGUGAGCAGGCCAGACAGGGUUAGAGAAGGAAGCCUGUAAACAAAGGCUUGAAGUGCUAGGGAGGUUGGGAAGGGGGGAGCACUGCUCUGUGGACAUUUGCUGACAGAACAUGAAGCAGAACAAGAAGAGCAAGUGUUCCUGCCUGCUGGAACUGAGGGGAAGGGAAAGAGGAGGAGACAGCCCUGGUCAGAUAGGUAAAGGCAAGGUGAAGGCACUUACUUCUCCAGAGGAGACCCAGGGAAGGACAGGUUCUUACCCUGUGUGGUGCAGGAGGCUGCUCUAUUUUGUUUUUUCUAUUGUCAUGAGAAACAAGCACAAGCAAAAGCAAUAUGGGGAGAAAACAGUUUAUUUUAGUUUACAGAUUUACAUUUCAUCCUCAAGGGAAAUCAAGGUAGGAGGGCCUCUUCGGGGACAACUGAAGCCAGAAAUAUGGAGAGCUGCUGCUUACUGGAUUGCUUCCCCCCACUUUAGUUGGGCUAGCUUUCUUUCACAAUCCAGGAUCACCUCUCCAAGGGUGGCACUGCACACACAUUUGCUGGACCCUCCUACACCAACUAUCAGUCAAGAAAAUGCCCCAACAGUUGGCCUGCAGGCCAGUCUGAUGGGAACGAUUCCUUAAUGUUCUGUGUUCCCAAGUAUGUCAAAUUGACAGCCAUCACUGGAGGUACUAGCAGGUUGUGUGGACAGAAGUGACAUACUCUGACUCAUUCAAAGAAAACCAACUGGAAGGAGCAAGAGCAGUCAAUGCAGUAACCCAGGGAGUGAGGUGAGAGGGGUAGGGGGACGGGAAAGGUAGGUGAGAAGCCAGAGCCAGAGCCCAGCAGUGAUACCAGAGAAUAGACCUAGUGUGCUGUGAUUGACAUUCAACAACUACAUCAGAAAUUUCCAAAGUGGAUCCUGUGAGAUCAUGGGCCUGCCCCUUUAAGAUUCUGGUCACCCAGAGGCCACAUCCCAUGGCUUGAAAUCAGGACUGACCACCCCUACACUCUCAAUCUCCACCCCUUACCUCCAUCACUGUGGAAACAGAGAAUUAAGAAGUCCCACUGUGCCUAAUAGCCUCUAAUUUCUAGUCUUGCCUGCUACCUGGUACCUCAAUGUGUUUUGUCACAUAGGCAUAGACUAUGUUGACUUCACUUUCACACAGUGUGAACCUUCCUGCUACCCCCAAAAGGAUAGAAAGUCAGUUAUUGGACUUUUCCCUGAAUUGUCUCUGGGCCUCCCUGCAUCACAUUGUCCAUGGUGGUGCGCUCUCUCUCUCUCUCUCUCUCUCUCUCUCUCUCUCUCUCUCUCUCUCUCUCUCUCUCUCUCUCUCUCUCUGAUAUUGUUCUCAAUGGAGCUUCUUCCCAGGUUUUAAAGGGAAGCCUCUCUCUCUCUCCCUUUAAAGACCUAUCAUGCAGUAUCUGACAGAAUCUCUGUGCCUUUCUAAUGUUCUCCCACAUCAAGGCUCAAUAGUAGACCACAUGGUCUUGAAGCCAUCUCUCCUAAUACAGUCAAUUCAUGAAGGCAUUUUCACGCCAGUUCUUUUCCUAAACCAGCCAACCUGUCUGUCAUCCUUUUUCUCUAACACAGCUUAUUCACAGACAAGAGGGAUCUAGAACAGGACAUGACAGAGAGAGGGGAGACUGAAAAUAAGCUAGAUUUACAACCUUGGGACAUCAGAGCCUUGGGAAGAUGAUAUAGUUAACCAGCUAUGUUGCUGGUGUGACCCUUAGUUCAGAGACAGGGAUGAGCUAGCCCUCAGACACAUAGCAAUUAACAGUGAGGCAAGGACUCUGUGAGCUUCACAAUCCUGCUCCCUUGAACCUAGGCCCAAUUGGAAUAAAAUGAAAUGAAGGAGGGCAUGAGAAAAGGGGACAGUGGGCAGAGGGACUGAUCAUGAACACCCAUUGUCACCACCACAGCUUCAAUGGACAAGGAAACUGGUGUUCCUCCGGAUUAAACUGUUUUUCUUGCUUUUCUGAUGAGAAAUGAAGUCUCAGAUACCACAGGCCCACCCAGUGCACACCCUUCAAAAGCAGGAGAUAACUCUCCUAAAAACCUGUGCACACUCAGCAUGCACUAAAGUUCUCUGUCCUCUGAUCUGGCAAAAUGAACAGACACGUGUCACCUAGAGUCCUGGCUCAUUCAGGAAAGAGCCCAGCCAGUGAGCUGUAAGAAACACCACCCCCAUCACCACCCGCUGACUGAAGGAGGAGCACCAGGGUACAGUCUUGUCACCCUUCUACAGACAGGUGAACUUUGGACAGUGAAGAAGGGUGACCGGCCCUCAGAGUGGAGGAACUGGACAGUUGGAGUUGCUUCAGGAGGCCACAGGAAACCAAAGAGCCCAGGUGCCAGUGGCUGGGUGGGGGCACCAGUGUGACCCACUGCUUAAACAACAAUGGGCUUCUGGAGUUGGAGCUGCACAGCCAGGUACCCAAUACCUUUUCCUCUUUCCAACACCGCCAAAGCAUGGCAUCCAACAUCUUCUGUUGCUGUUACAAGGCCAGUGAUUCAACUAGCAACAGUGCCAGUCACCUCUCUACAAGAGUGGCCCAACAGAAUCACCCACUGUGGGGCAGAUGCUUCAUAACACCAGACAGAAGAACUGGUAUGAACAGAAAUGCUCCUCAAAGGGGUAUUCAAAGGAGACACUCAUUCAACCUCUCAAACAACUGGAUUAAGCUAUGCAGCCUCAGGAGACCCUGAAGGUUCUAGAGGCAGCAGGCCAUGGUCUCUGAGCUGUGCAGCUGCUGGAGGGUCUCCAUGAGGAUGAAGAAGGCAGUGGACAGGAGUCAUGAAGACUGAUUCAGAAACUCCACCGCAAGGAGGGAAGAGGUCUGAGCCAUCCCUGUGCCACCAGCACGAGUCACCCCAGCUCCUGACAGCCAGGGAGGGGGGCUGCCUGCAAUUAAAGUCCUUGUUUGCAUCAGAGGAUGUGUCUCUCCUCUUCGACCACUUCUCACCCUACUUCUGAGAGGCCCAUAGAUGUGGAAUAAGUUUGACCUGCCAUCUUUUGUAGGUUUACUAUUCUACAACAUUUAAGUUCCUCUCAAAUACCCAGGAGAGCAACAUAGUUGGGCAGAUGGAUACCACUGUAAACAUCUCAAGCCAGAGGGCACGAUUCCAUUCACAUACUGUGAGACCCAUCUGUGCUCAAGACCACAUUGAACAGUGCUGCUGAUCAUGGAGAACCCCGUCAGCAGCCCCAGCACACUGUCAAAUGCAGGAGAGCCCCAGUGGCUUCCUUCUCAAACAAUACAAUAGGGUAACUGUGGAAGCAAAGGAAGAAAGAACAUUUUAGCCCUGACCUUGGGGUUCAGUGAAGGCUUCUUGGAGGAGUCAGUACUGGGAGUCUCUGAAAGCUGAAAGGGAACUGGGCAAUCCAAGAAGAAACCAAAUCAGAAAAAUCUGGGGAACAGACCUGGGAAGGGUACAAGGGUCAGAAGCUUCAAUGUCUGUAUUGACUCAAGUAAAAGCCUGCACCAGGGUGUGGUGGUAGGAGAAAUAGCCAGGCAACAAAAGCUUUGUGUCCAAGAAUGCCCUGAAGGUGAUGAGGGGCC